AGAGAGGAUGAAGAUACGACGCAAGAGAGGAGGCUGUUCCGCCAUGCACUGUCGUCGCUCCUGGGGUCGAUUGAAGCCGCCGCCGCAGCUAGGGCUUGUCGUGCUCCUGUCCGUACUCCUAACCUCUAUCUCUCUCUCUCCCUCUUCAACUUUCAUUUCAUUCUCAUUUCAAUUUCAAUUUCAAUGUCUCUGCAGGCAAUAAUAUAUUUUAGAAGUUGUAUUGGACUGGAAGAGAGGGAAGGGGAGCAUUUGAACUUUCAAUUUCAUUAAUUUUUGCUGAAUUUCUGUGCCUGUAGGUGAAUACUGGAUUGUGAAGGAUGGUUAGGAUUGUGAAUACAGAAGUUUGGACCUCUUCAUAUAUGGGAACAAUGCUGAUCGAUUCCUGAAUUGGAGCACUAGGUUCCAAAUUGUUCUAAGCGUGGCAAGGGGAUUGCAGUACCUUCAUGAGAAUUCACAUCUAAGAAUUGUUCACCGAGACAUCAAAGCAAGUAACAUUCUUCUUGAUCAUAAGUUUCAUCCCAAGAUUGGAGACUUUGGCCUUGCCAGGUUCUUCCCUGAAGACCAAGCUUAUCUUAGCACACAAUUCGCUGGAACAUUGUUUAGUUAUUAAGUAAUUGAGCUGAGCUGUAAGUUUGACAAAUGAAAUGGUUUCCUGCCAGCGCCAAAAGGGCUGUU